rnacentral:lncRNA from 1 species
UCUGUGUUUUGUUUUUAUUAUUCAUAAAACAUUCUAUUUCUGUCUUUCCUUUUAAUCCGUGCUGUAGAGAGGUGCUUUCCCAUUAUUAUGUAGCAGACGAUGCCUCCACAACAAUAGCAGGGAGCCAGGCAUUCUGUCCCACAGGGAAUGACCUGGAGGUAUGAAAUGCUAAUUCAAAGGUCAUGAAAAUGGGGAUCAAUGAGAAGGAGCAUGGCAGCAGGCCUGCCCUGUGACUGUGAUGGCUGUCACCAGAGAAAGGACUGCUGAUGCACAGGUUGUCAGCUGGGAAAGUUCUCACCAAAGACACUGAGCCGAGCAUAGGAAAGCAGUCUCAGCGGAGGAAUCAACUGGUUAAGUUGGUUAUAUUCUCUGUUGGAUACAAAUCAGCAGAAAAGAGGAGCAGUCAGACAUCUCAGUGGGGUGUGAGGGACCCUGUGUUUUCCCUGGUUGAAAUGCUGCCUUGGCUUCUGUGA